GAGGGUAUAGCUCAGUGGUAGAGCACGUGCUUAGCAUGCACGAGGUCCUGUUCAAACCCUAGCGCCUCCU
rnacentral:tRNA from 1 species